GACGAACGCUGGCGGCGUGCUUAACACAUGCAAGUCGAACGGAAAGGCCCUGCUUUUGUGGGGUGCUCGAGUGGCGAACGGGUGAGUAACACGUGAGUAACCUGCCCUUGACUUUGGGAUAACUUCAGGAAACUGGGGCUAAUACCGGAUAGGAGCUCCUGCUGCAUGGUGGGGGUUGGAAAGUUUCGGCGGUUGGGGAUGGACUCGCGGCUUAUCAGCUUGUUGGUGGGGUAGUGGCUUACCAAGGCUUUGACGGGUAGCCGGCCUGGGAGGGUGACCGGCCACAUUGGGACUGAGAUACGGCCCAGACUCCAACGGGAGGCAGCAGUGGGGAAUAUUGCACAAUGGGCGGAAGCCUGAUGCAGCAACGCCGCGUGCGGGAUGACGGCCUUCGGGUUGUAAACCGCUUUCGCCUGUGACGAAGCGUGAGUGACGGUAAUGGGUAAAGAAGCACCGGCUAACUACGUG
rnacentral:rRNA from 1 species